GCUGCCAUAAGGUCUCCCUGCCUCAAGGCUAAGCAGCAGGAAUUGAUGUUUGUUCCUGUCAAUUGUCAGCAAGCCCUGAGGUCUUCUCUAGAGCCCAGAGUAAAACCUUCCUGCUUCUGCAGCCUGCAGUCUAGAGCCUUUUGGUCCAGACAACAGAGCAAAAUACCCUUCUUGUCAAAGUUAUGAGAAAGACUCCAGAGUCUCCAGGGAACCCGAAUCUUACCCUGGUAGAUGAGGUGUGAGCUGAGGUCAAACUGGAGCACAGGAUGCUUGAAUCUACUGAGAGCUGU